AGGGGGUUUGGGGAUCCUUGGCUCAGAACGAACGCUGGCGGCGUGCCUAAUACAUGCAAGUCGAACGAGAAAGCACCUUCGGGUGUUAGUACAGUGGCAGACGGGUGAGUAAUACAUAGGUAACUUGCCUUUGAGCGGGGGAUAACCUUUCGAAAGGAGGGCUAAUACCGCAUAAGACCACAGCUACUACGGUAGCAGGGGUAAAAGGUGGCCUCUACUUGUAAGCUACCACUUAAAGAUAGGCUUAUGUACCAUUAGCUUGUUGGUGAGGUAACGGCUCACCAAGGCUACGAUGGUUAGCUGAUCUGAGAGGUUGAUCAGCCACACUGGAACUGAGACACGGUCCAGACUCCUACGGGAGGCAGCAGUAGGGAAUAUUGCGCAAUGGAGGAAACUCUGACGCAGCGACGCCGCGUGGGCGACGAAGGCUUUCGGGUCGUAAAGCCCUGUCGAAGGGGAAGAAAAACGGUAUGGCUAAUAUCCAUAUCGCUUGACGGUACCUUUUAGAGGAAGCACCGGCUAACUUACGUGCCAAGCAAGCCG
rnacentral:rRNA from 1 species